AAGGAUUUAAGUUAACCCCCCCAAACUAGUAACCUUCAAAGUUGAAAAUAGAGGAGCUCUAAGCCUUA
rnacentral:tRNA from 1 species